CUACGGGUGGCAGCAGUAAGGAAUAUUGCACAAUGGAGGAAACUCUGAUGCAGCAACGCCGCGUGGAGGAUGACACUUUUCGGAGCGUAAACUCCUUUUAUAUAGGAAGAAGAUGACGGUACUAUAUGAAUAAGCGCCGGCUAACUCCGUGCCAGCAGCCGCGGUAAUACGGAGGGCGCAAGCGUUACUCGGAAUCACUGGGCGUAAAGAGCGUGUAGGCGGAUUAAAAAGUCAGAAGUGAAAUCCUAUAGCUUAACUAUAGAACUGCUUCUGAAACUCUUAAUCUAGAAUAUGGGAGAGGUAGAUGGAAUUUCUGGUGUAGGGGUAAAAUCCGUAGAGAUCAGAAGGAAUACCGAUUGCGAAGGCGAUCUACUAGAACAUUAUUGACGCUGAGACGCGAAAGCGUGGGGAGCAAACAGGAUUAGAUACCCUCGUAGUC
rnacentral:rRNA from 1 species